rnacentral:rRNA from 1 species
CUAGUAAUGGCGAAUGAACAGGCAAAAGCUCAGAUUUGAAACCCUCGGGAUUGUAAUCUGGAGACCUGGAUUUGGCACGCUGACCAAGUCUUCUGGAACGGAGCGCCAUGGAGGGUGACAGCCCCGUAGCAGCAGCCACUGUAAAUCCGGGUCGACGAGUCGAGUUGUUUGGGAAUGCAGCUCUAAGUGGGUGGUAUGCUCCAUCUAAAGCUAAAUAUUGGCGAGAGACCGAUAGCGAACAAGUACUGUGAAGGAAAGAUGAAAAGAACUUUGAAAAGAGAGUGAAAAAGUACGUGAAAUUGUUGAAAUGGAAGGCAAUGAGGUGCGAUUGAACCGGACGUUUGCGGGCAGGACAAAAGCGCAGGCCGCCUCGGCAUUGCCUGCGUGCAUACUGCCUCGCGGACUACCAGUUCUAACAACGCCUUAUUGCAC